rfam:TPA: Bos taurus chromosome 5, whole genome shotgun sequence.
UCUCUGGUGGCUCAAACAGUAAAGAACCUGUCUGCAAUGCAGGAGACCCAGGUUCAAUCCCUGGUUGGGAAG